GAUCUGUAGGUGAACCUGCAGAUGGAUCA
rnacentral:rRNA from 1 species